AGAGUUUGAUCCUGGCUCAGAUUGAACGCUGGCGGCAGGCCUAACACAUGCAAGUCGAGCGGAUGAGUGGAGCUUGCUCCAUGAUUCAGCGGCGGACGGGUGAGUAAUGCCUAGGAAUCUGCCUGGUAGUGGGGGACAACGUUUCGAAAGGAACGCUAAUACCGCAUACGUCCUACGGGAGAAAGUGGGGGAUCUUCGGACCUCACGCUAUCAGAUGAGCCUAGGUCGGAUUAGCUAGUUGGUGAGGUAAAGGCUCACCAAGGCGACGAUCCGUAACUGGUCUGAGAGGAUGAUCAGUCACACUGGAACUGAGACUCGGCCCAGACUCCUACGGGAGGCAGCAGUGGGGAAUUUUGGACAAUGGGCGAAAGCCUGAUCCAGCAAUGCCGCGUGUGUGAAGAAGGCCUUCGGGUUGUAAUGCACUUUUGUCCGGAAAGAAAUGGCUCUGGUUAAUACCUGGGGUCGAUGACGGUACCGGAAGAAAAAAGCCCGUAU
rnacentral:rRNA from 1 species